AAACAUAUCCAGAAUUGGGAAAAUCAAGCCCUUUCUCAUAAAGAGUUGUCUUACAAAAGAUGAAGCUGAAAGAAGACUUUCUGUCUCUUCAGUAGUGCUUAUAUAUGGUUGCAUUCAGAUAGUGUGAUGUACAAAGAUCUUUCUAUGCAGAGACUGGUAACAGGUCAUAAUGUCAAUCAGUGCCAAAGAGAAGGAGGUUACUGACUGAUUAAUGAAUAUGUAUGGAUCCAAAUGGUAAAGGAGCUCCUGACGGGAUCUGAGGCACCUGUUUUUCACUGUUGUAGCAGAAAUGUUAAGUCACAGCCUGAACCAGUGAUUGAGCACCUGGUGGGAAGGCAGGGCCAACCCAGGGGAGCUCAGGUGCAUGCAAUGAACCUGAGUGAGCAGAAGGGGUGCAGGCAGGAUCCGCCCCUUCCCAGACUUCAUUUAAAGGUUGGCAGUGGAGGCAAGGGUAUCUUGCUGAAGAUUGCUGCAUAUCUCAGGUCUUCCUAAGGUAAGCAGUUUUCCUUUCUUUGUUUUUGCUUCCAUAUCUGCUUCAUCUGGGCUUGUUCUCGUUUGCUAUAGACUAGGAUUGUGCUACUCUGCUGUUAUUGCUAUACUUUCCAUCACAUUAUAGCAUUACAAUUGUCACCAGCUGUUAAUUCAACUCCUAUACUGUUGUGUCAUGCUCACACCUCAGUGCUGUAAAAUUAC
rnacentral:lncRNA from 1 species